ACACCCGCGCCCAAAAAUCAGCCCCCGAAGGUCGGGGCGCCAAGACCCCCCAGCGGAAAAAUGGCCAAAAAACGGGUGGGCUAUAGCCUUGGUGGGGGGCGUGGGCGAAGUUCGUCCGCCGGACUCGGAAUGGACCCAGACUUUGCGGGCGGCCUCCGUGUGCCAAAAAUAGGCCACGGGCACACCCGCGCCCAAAAAUCAGCCCCCGAAGGUCGGGGCGCCAAGACCCCCCAGCGGAAAAAUGGCCAAAAAACGGGUGGGCUAUAGCCUUGGUGGGGGGCGUGGGCGAAGUUCGUCCGCCGGACUCGGAAUGGCCCCAGACUUUGCGGGCGGCCUCCGUGUGCCAAAAAUAGGCCACGGGCACAGCCGCGCCCAAAAAUCAGCCCCCGAAGGUCGGGGCGCCAAGACCCCCCAGCGGAAAAAUGGCCAAAAAAAGGGUGGGCGGGCUAUAGCCUUGGUGGGGGGCGUGGGCGAAGUUCGUCCGCCGGACUCGGAAUGGCCCCAGACUUUGCGGCCGGCCUCCGUGUGCCAAAAUAGGCCACGGGCACAGCCGCGCCCAAAAUCAGCCCCCGAAGGUCGGGGUGCCAACACCCCCCAGUGGAAAAUGGGCCAAAAACGGGUGGGCUAUAGCCUUGGUGGGGGGGCGGUGGGGCGAAGUUCGUCCGCCGGACUCGGAAUGGCUCCAGACGUUGCGGGCGCCUCCGUGUGCCAAAAAUAGCCAAAAAUAGGCCACGGGCACAGCCGCGCCCAAAAAUCAGCCCCCGAAGGUCGGGGUGCCAACACCCCCCAGUGGAAAAAUGGCCAAAAAACGGGUGGGCGGGCUAUAGCCUUGGUGGGGGGCGUGGGCGAAGUUCGUCCGCCGGACUCGGAAUGGCCCACAGGACUUUGCCGGGCGUGCCUCCGUGUGCCAGAAAAUAGGCCACGUGCACAGCCCGCGCCCAAAAAUCAGCCCCCCGAAGGUCGGGGUGCCAAGACCCCCCAGCGGAAAAAUGGCCAAAAAACGGGUGGGCUAUAGCCUAGGUGGGGGGCGUGGGCGAAGUUCGUCCGCCGGACUCGGAAUGGUCCCAGACUUUGCGGGCGGCUUCCGUGUGCCAAAAAUAGGCUACGGGCAGAGCCGCGCCCAAAAAUCAGCCCCCGAAGGUCGGGGCGCCAAGACCCCCCAGCGGAAAAAUGGCCAAAAAACGGGUGGGCUAUAGCCUUGGUGGGGGGCGUGGGCGAAGUUCGUCCGCCGGACUCGGAAUGGCCCCAGACUUUGCGGGCGGCUUCCGUGUGCCAAAAAUAGGCCACGGGCAGAGCCGCGCCCAAAAAUCAGCCCCCGAAGGUCGGGGUGCCAAGACCCCCCAGCAGAAAAAUGGCCAAAAAACGGGUGGGCUAUAGCCUUGGUGGGGGGCGUGGGCGAAGUUCGUCCGCCGGACUCGGAAUGGCCCCAGACUUUGCGGGCGGCCUCCGUGUGCCAAAAAUAGGCCACGGGCACAGCCGCGCCCAAAAAUCAGCCCCCGAAGGUCGGGGCGCCAAGACCCCCCAGCGGAAAAAUGGCCAAAAAACGGGUGGGCUAUAGCCUAGGUGGGGGGCGUGGGCGAAGUUCGUCCGCCGAACUCGGAAUGGCCCCAGACUUUGCGGGCGGCCUCCGUGUGCCAAAAAUAGGCCACGGGCACAGCCGCGCCCAAAAAUCAGCCCCCGAAGGUCGGGGUGCCAAGACCCCCCAGCGGAAAAAUGGCCAAAAAACGGGUGGGCUAUAGCCUUGGUGGGGGGCUUGGGCGAAGUUCGUCCGCCGGACUCGGAAUGGCCCCAGACUUUGCGGGCGGCUUCCGUGUGCCAAAAAUAGGCCACGGGCAGAGCCGCGCCCAAAAAGCAGCCCCCGAAGGUCGGGGUGCCAAGACCCCCCAGCGGAAAAAUGGCCAAAAAACGGGUGGGCUAUAGCCUUGGUGGGUGGCGUGGGCGAAGUUCGUCCGCCGGACUCGGAAUGGCCCCAGACGUUGCGGGCGGCCUCCGUGUGCCAAAAAUAGGCCACGGGCACAGCCGCGCCCAAAAAUCAGCCCCCGAAGGUCGGGGUGCCAACACCCCCCAGCGGAAAAAUGGCCAAAAAUUGGGUGGGCUAUAGCCUUGGUGGGGGGCGUGGGCGAAGUUCGUCCGCCGGACUCGGAAUGGCCCCAGACUUUGCGGGCGGCUUCCGUGUGCCAAAAAUAGGCCACGGGCAGAGCCGCGCCCAAAAAUCAGCCCCCGAAGGUCGGCGCGCCAAGACCCCCCAGCGUAAAAAUGGCCAAAAAACGGGUGGGCUAUAGCCUUGGUGGGGGGCGUGGGCUAAGUUCGUCCGCCGGACUCGGAAUGGCCCCAGACUUUGCGGGCGGCAUCCGUGUGCCAAAAAUAGGCCACGGGCAGAGCCGCGCCCAAAAAUCAGCCCCCGAAGGUCGGGGUGCCAAGACCCCCCAGCGGAAAAAUGGCCAAAAAACGGGUGGGCUAUAGCCUUGGUGGGGGGCGUGGGCGAAGUUCGUCCGCCG
rnacentral:lncRNA from 1 species